GACGAACGCUGGCGGCGUGCUUAACACAUGCAAGUCGAACGGAAAGGCCCUGCUUUUGUGGGGUGCUCGAGUGGCGAACGGGUGAGUAACACGUGAGUAACCUGCCCUUGACUUUGGGAUAACUUCAGGAAACUGGGGCUAAUACCGGAUAGGAGCUCCUGCUGCAUGGUGGGGGUUGGAAAGUUUCGGCGGUUGGGGAUGGACUCGCGGCUUAUCAGCUUGUUGGUGGGGUAGUGGCUUACCAAGGCUUUGACGGGUAGCCGGCCUGAGAGGGUGACCGGCCACACUGGGACUGAGAUACGGCCCAGACUCCUACGGGAGGCAGCAGUGGGGAAUAUUGCACAAUGGGCGGAAGCAUGAUGCAGCAACGCCGCGUGCGGGAUGACGGCCUUCGGGUUGUAAACCGCUUUCGCCUGUGACGAAGCGUGAGUGACGGUAAUGGGUAAAGAAGCACCGGCUAACUACGUG
rnacentral:rRNA from 1 species